rnacentral:tRNA from 1 species
GUGCCCAUAGCUCAGCUGGAUAGAGCGUCAGUUUCCGGAACUGAAGGUCGCAGGUUCAAAUCCUACUGGGCAUACCA